ACAUGUAGGGACACAAAGACAUUCAGCUGAACAAUGUGUGACCCAGGACAUCCCUGCGUUCGCUGCUAAGGUGUACAAUGCGUCAUCAGAUAAGGUAUCAAUUGGGUUGAUGGGACAGCGGCAUAGGCACACUUUGCUUAUCAUGCGAUUGUUCAAAAUAUAUGGACAUUGCUGCAGUCACGCUCAGUAGGCUAUUUCCUGGUAACGUUCUCCGUUCUCCGGUUCAAGCAAUAAGCUAUUGUCUCUGUAAACGUUGCACACGUGAACACCUGCUAUGUGAGUGAGCAGUUUUCACCUGUAUCUCCCGAUCUUGGUAGCGUGUGAGCGAUAUCUACUCCCGAGGCUUGAUGUGAUUGCCGUUUACCUGGCUGGAUCGAUGGAUAACGACAGUAAGGGCAUUGUUGUAAUCAGUCACAAAACGCCAUGUCUCUGUUACAUUUGGUGGCAUCCAAGGGUCAGUUGACACUACAUCUGGGGGUUCUUCAAUAGUCCGGUAGGUGGCGCUUGCCUCGCAUUUGUGGUUCUUAUGCUUGUGGCCUACUGCUGCUGGUCUUGCUUCAAACGUGACAGAUCUAGAGGGAUAACGCCUGCAGAAAGAAGGAGGUUAUUGCUGGCCACAGGUAACUCAGACAGCACUUCCAUAGACUAUGAACAUAAUGCUCAAAACACUUUCACUGAUAACCGAAUGGCGGGAAGGACGCAGUCGACCAGUAAUAACGAUGCCGUGACCGGCGUGACAGUUCCCUCUGCACCUCCGCCUUACCAAAGACGCGACGAGCCCCCGCCCUACGUAGACGUCUAUUCUUCGUCUCCACCGCCUUACUCGGAAGUUACAAAGGCGAAUCAAAAUGUGCACACAUCUCAAGUUUGAUGUUUAAGUACCUCUUGUGUACAUAAUGAUUUAAGGGACGUACAGUAUGCCACGGGAUAAAUGUGGAUCUACUGUGCCGUAUGCAUGGUGACUGGCUCAAACUGCACCGAAGUCGUGGUGCAUGUAUACCACACAAUUUGGCAAUUGUGAAAGGACAUCGUCUUUCAUAUUGCUGUGCGCUUUUGCGAAGUUAUAAUUUUACAGAGAUACAGACACUAUUAAGUUCGUUUGCCGAUUUCAUGGUUUUACUGUCCUUGGGAUCGCCCGUAUUAUUUAUAGCAUUUUCAGUUUGCAUUUGACUAGAAUUAUAUGUGGAAGAGAACGUUUCAAAGAUGGUAUUCAAUAAUAAGGGAACAUUCAUAUCUCAAAUCGUUCAGGAAAACAUCCAUUGCUGCAGACCAUUAUAAGGCAGCAGGUGGAGGAAAACAGCAAUUUUUUAAAGCGGAUACCGGAUUUAUAAUGGAUGCAGAUUAUUUAAGGGAACGUUCGCAUAAGCAAGUAGUGUUAAGCUAAAGGAUACAACUUUGAGCCACAUUUUCACAUAAGGAUUUAUGUCAUCCAUCUGCCGAGUGAUACCGUUUUUACCUUUACAAGAGUAAAUGCAAAGAUCGUUAUAUGGGACAGCGCUCGGUUAAUUAUAUUUCCCUCAUUUAUUUAUUAGGAAUUCAAGAUUCAAGUUGUGUCAAGUAACCUAUGUGUUUAUUGUGAAUAAGGGCAUAUUUAGAUUUUGAUGCCCCAUGUAAAGCAAUGCUUGUGAUAGUUUAUCUGAGGGGCAAAACGCGUUUAUCUCUGCUGUCAGGGCGGGUAGGGGGCGGUAUUGAGGUCCAUAUUCAUAUCUAUCCUUAUAUCUAUGGCCUUGUUUAUGUGGGUUAUCUUUGUCAACAAGUCUGUACCAAAGCACAGUAAGAGUAGGACAAUGCCCACACCCCACUCCAGUGAAGAAAUGCAGUUUGAUAAGGGGCCCUUAGGUUUUACUGUACUGUUGUAAAUGUAGCAUAAUAUUCUCUGUUUCAGUGGUGCGAUGCCACUUUUUUACGGGGACCCCAAUCUUUGAAACACUAUCGAGAUGGUAAAUAAGCAAACGGUUUUUAACCUAUCAUGUUGAGAUCUUUAACAAACUACAAGGUCGUAGAAUGCCAUAGAAGUGAGAGAGGGAGGGAAGGGGGGACUGGAGAACAUUCCCUCAGUGUUUUUUUAUAAUUGAAGAAGGCAUUUAUAAAAUGCUAACAUUUCGCUUUAUCUGAACCAGUCCUACUUUUUUUCAGUAAGCGUCUACACGAGUACCGCAGGCUGGCGAAAUUAAUUGCUUGCACGUAUAUUGAUAUUGUAGGCCUGCAACAGCUGAUCCCCCCCACUCCCGAGUAUUUUCCUUAUCCUACAGCCCUGGACUUUGACCCGGCAGACUCAUUUAUUUAAAAGAAACGGCUGUAAACAUUCUUUCCAUAGUGUUAAAUUCAGUAAAUUCAGGUGAAUAUUCCCACUGAAACUACUGGUGUACGUAGAUCAAUCCAGCUUCACGGGGACUCUAGGACCCCAUUUCCA
rnacentral:misc_RNA from 1 species